rnacentral:rRNA from 1 species
UACGUAGGGUGCAAGCGUUGUCCGGAAUUAUUGGGCGUAAAGAGCUCGUAGGCGGCUUGUCGCGUCGUUCGUGAAAACCUGCAGCUCAACUGCAGGCUUGCGGUCGAUACGGGCAGGCUAGAGUUCGGUAGGGGAGACUGGAAUUCCUGGUGUAGCGGUGAAAUGCGUAGAUAUCUGGAGGAACACCGGUGGCGAAGGCGGCAUCCUGGACCAAUAUUGACGCUGAGGAGCGAAAGCUAGGGGAGCAAACGGG